CUGACACGUGCUGUGGUUGAAAGUCGAUGCCAGCCGCAGGCAAAGCGAUCCACGUAAGGGCUCCGAUACGGGCCUGAUCAUAGUGCGGCCUAGAAGUAAGACCUGCCGCGAAAAGCGAGAGAGGCAGUAGUGGGGAACGGCAGUUUACGAGCGAACCCUCCGGCAGGCGAGUGUGGGGGUAAAAACCAGGUCAGGCGUGUUUU
rnacentral:ncRNA from 20 species